rnacentral:rRNA from 1 species
UCGGAUUGUAGUCUGCAACCCGGCUACAUGAAGCUGGAAUCGCUAGUAAUCGCGGAUCAGAAUGCCGCGGUGAAUACGUUCCCGGGUCUUGUACACACCGCCCGUCACACCAUGGGAGUCGGAAAUGCCCGAAGUCUGUGACCCAACCUCAGGGAGGGAGCAGCCGAAGGCAGGUCGGAUGACUGGGGUGAAGUCGUAACAAGGUACC